GAAAUACUACAUCACCUUAGCAGGAACUCUCUUCUUGGGAGGCUACCCCUUGACAUCACCAAGAUCUUCUCGCUUCAUCUUAUAUUGCAUCACGCCGCACAUAGAAUAAGCAUCCAAUUUCUCGUAUUCAUCAUCACGAUAGAGGAUACAGUCAUUAGAACAUGCAUGUAUCUUCUGAACCUCCAAUCCAGAGGGCAAACAACCUAUUUUGCUUCAUAUAUUGUGGAUGGCAAUUCAUUAUUCUUGGGAAGCAUAUUCUUUACAAUUUUCAAUAUCCCCUAAAAUGCCUUAUUGGACAUACCAUUUUUUAUCUUCCAUUGCACCAUUUCCAGUGUACUACCCAGCUUUAAUUAUUAUGCCCCCGCUUGCAAUGUGGGUACAAUAAUUUUUUUAGUCAUCUAUCAUAUGCUGCAACUUUCCUGAUUCCUUCUUCAUUAGCCUCAUCCAUUGUAGUAUGCCCCCGCUUGCAAUCUUUUUGUGCAUCCAGUAGCACCUGACCAAGAUCAUCAAUAGGGCCGUCUUCUGCAAACUCUUCUUCAUUAGCCUCAUCCAUUGUAGUAUCGGCAAAAGCUUAGCCUGCAACCCAGUCCAGAAUGUUGUUAUCAUCCUCCCCUUCUUCGUCAUCUUCC
rnacentral:lncRNA from 1 species